rnacentral:tRNA from 1 species
GUUAACGUAGCAAAAUUUGGGAUUGCAAAAGAUCUAAGCCCUUUUAAUAGAGGUUCAAAUCCUCUCAUUAACU